AGGUUGGGAUGUGGGCAUUAUUUG
rnacentral:miRNA from 1 species